AAGGAUGGGUCUGCGGCCUAUCAGGUAGUAGUGGGUGUAGCGUACCUACUAGCCUACGACGGGUACGGGUUGUGAGAGCAAGAGCCCGGAGAUGGAUUCUGAGACACGAAUCCAGGCCCUACGGGGUGCAGCAGGCGCGAAAACUUUACAAUGCUGGCAACAGCGAUAAGGGAACCUCGAGUGCCAGGUUACAAAUCUGGCUGUCGAGAUGCCUAAAAAGCAUUUCAUAGCAAGGGCCGGGCAAGACCGGUGCCAGCCGCCGCGGUAACACCGGCGGCUCGAGUGGUAACCGUUAUUAUUGGGUCUAGAGGGUCUGUAGCCGGCCGGAUAAGUCUCUUGAGAAAUCUGGCAGCUUAACUGUCAGGCUUUCAGGAGAUACUGUCUGGCUCGAGGCCGGGAGAGGUGAGAGGUACUUCAGGGGUAGGGGUGAAAUCUUGUAAUCCUUGAAGGACCACCAGUGGCGAAGGCGUCUCACCAGAACGGACCUGACGGCAAGGGACGAAAGCUAGGGGCACGAACCGGAUUAGAUACCCGGGUAGUCCUAGCCGUAAACGAUACUCGCUAGGUGUCGGCCACGGUGCGACCGUUGUCGGUGCCGUAGGGAAGCCGUGAAGCGAGCCACCUGGGAAGUACGGCCGCAAGGCUGAAACUUAAAGGAAUUGGCGGGGGAGCACCACAACGGGUGGAGCUUGCGGUUUAAUUGGAUUCAACGCCGGAAAUCUUACCGGGACCGACAGCAAUAUGAAGGCCAGGCUGAAGACUUUGCCGGAUUAGCU
rnacentral:rRNA from 1 species